rnacentral:rRNA from 1 species
UCGAUUUGGAGUUUGUUGCCUAGAGUGAUGGGCUCUGAAGCUAACGCGAUAAAUCGACCGCCUGGGGAGUACGGCCGCAAGGUUAAAACUCAAAUGAAUUGACGGGGGCCCGCACAAGCGGUGGAGCAUGUGGUUUAAUUCGAUGCAACGCGAAGAACCUUACCUGGUCUUGACAUCCACAGAAUCUUGCAGAGAUGCGAGAGUGCCUUCGGGAACUGUGAGACAGGUGCUGCAUGGCUGUCGUCAGCUCGUGUUGUGAAAUGUUGGGUUAAGUCCCGCAACGAGCGCAACCCUUAUCCUUUGUUGCCAUUGGUUCGGCCGGGAACUCAAAGGAGACUGCCGUUGAUAAAGCGGAGGAAGGUGGGGACGACGUCAAGUCAUCAUGGCCCUUACGACCAGGGCUACACACGUGCUACAAUGGCGUAUACAAAGGGAGGCGACCUCGCGAGAGCAAGCGGACCUCAUAAAGUACGUCUAAGUCCGGAUUGGAGUCUGCAACUCGACUCCAUGAAGUCGGAAUCGCUAGUAAUCGUGAAUCAGAAUGUCACGGUGAAUACGUUCCCGGGCCU